rnacentral:rRNA from 1 species
UACGAAGGGGGCUAGCGUUGCUCGGAAUCACUGGGCGUAAAGCGCACGUAGGCGGCUUUCUAAGUCAGGGGUGAAAUCCCGGAGCUCAACUCCGGAACUGCCUUUGAUACUGGAGAGCUUGAGUCCGGGAGAGGUGAGUGGAACUGCGAGUGUAGAGGUGAAAUUCGUAGAUAUUCGCAAGAACACCAGUGGCGAAGGCGGCUCACUGGCCCGGAACUGACGCUGAGGUGCGAAAGCGUGGGGAGCAAACAGG